rnacentral:lncRNA from 1 species
UCCCUUUCUUCACAGCUCUUACAGGCUGCCAAUAUCAAUGGCGUUUCCAUUACGGCACCUAGUCCUCAACUUUUUGCCUAAAUUUCUAUCUUCUUUUUAGCCACCUACUUCUAAUACUACACCUACCCACAGAUUAUCUUUUGGCUUUGUGUGGAAAUUGAGAGUGUAAUUUUGGAGAGAAACUAAAGUGAUGAUUUUUGAAAGC